GUCCCCUCUCGGCGUUUUCGUUAAAAUCAAAUGUAGUAGUUGUUUGUAUCAAUUUAGCCUGUGGUAAGUUUUGUGUCGGAAAAUAACACCUUAAAUGAGUUUUUAAAACCGAGAGUCAGAACGGAGAGUCGUUUUCGUUUGUUCUGCGCACCGGGUUUUUCUUGCACUGUUGUUGCAGACAGUGCAUUUCCA